AUGAACGCUGGCGGCGUGCCUAAUACCUGCAAGUCGAGCGAACAGACGAGGAGCUUGCUCCUCUGACGUUAGCGGCGGCCGGGUGAGUAACACGUGGAUAACCUACCUAUAAGACUGGGAUAACUUCGGGAAACCGGAGCUAAUACCGGACAAUAUAUUGAACCGCAUGGUUCAAUAGUGAAAGACGGUUUUGCUGUCACUUAUAGAUGGAUCCGCGCCGCAUUAGCUAGUUGGUAAGGUAACGGCUUACCAAGGCAACGAUGCGUAGCCGACCUGAGAGGGUGAUCAGCCACACUGGAACUGAGACACGGUCCAGACUCCUACGGGAGGCAGCAGUAGGGAAUCUUCCACAAUGGGCGAAAGCCUGACGGAGCAACGCCGCGUGAGUGAUGAAGGUCUUCGGAUCGUAAAACUCUGUUGUUAGGGAAGAACAAAUGUGUAAGUAACUAUGCACGUCUUGACGGUACCUGAUCAGAAAGCCACGGCUAACUACGUG
rnacentral:rRNA from 1 species